AUUGAACGCUGGCGGCAUGCUUUACACAUGCAAGUCGAACGGCAGCACGGGGGCAACCCUGGUGGCGAGUGGCGAACGGGUGAGUAAUAUAUCGGAACGUACCCGGAAAUGGGGGAUAACGUAGCGAAAGUUACGCUAAUACCGCAUAUGCCCUAAGGGGGAAAGCGGGGGAUUCGCAAGAACCUCGCGUUUUCGGAGCGGCCGAUAUCGGAUUAGCUAGUAGGUGAGGUAAAGGCUCACCUAGGCGACGAUCCGUAGCUGGUCUGAGAGGACGACCAGCCACACUGGAACUGAGACACGGUCCAGACUCCUACGGAGGCAGCAGUGGGGAAUUUUGGACAAUGGGCGCAAGCCUGAUCCAGCCAUGCCGCGUGAGUGAAGAAGGCCU
rnacentral:rRNA from 1 species